rnacentral:lncRNA from 1 species
AUGUAUCCGAACAGAUACACUGUUGUACUACAGUAUGUAGUUUAUUCAUCCAGGUCUCUAUCUCAUGAAGGAGCUUUGAAUGAAACGGUGGAGGGCCCCACAUUCUGGAGCCUCACCCCUCUUAUGGUCUGAAUGGGGUCCAAGAGGUGGGGAGGAUAGAGGGAACACUGACAGUGGACGAGGACUUCAGUGAAGCUCCCUCGCCCAAGUUGCCUUUAUCAAACUCAACAUUUAACAACACAACAACGUCUGAAGAGAGGGUCUCUGAGGUACCAGGGGCAAUAGUAGAAAGUGUUCUCCUCAGUGGGGAAGACUCCUUGAAGAAAAAGAAGAGUCGAGAACGGAAGACGAGUACAGAGGAGGAAGAGGAAGCGGAGGAGGAGGAAUUAUACGAUGGGGAUGAGUACAGUUAUGAAUAUGAGGAUUCCACAGAUGAUCCCUUACUGUCAAUGGAAAAGCAAGGGGRGUUUGAAAUCACAACAGAAAGCACACUACAUGGAAUGAGCAAAGAGAGUGGCAUGACAACUUUAGGUCCAUAUCCUCCCCAGUCACCGGGAGACAGUGAAAAGCAGGGGGAAUUAUCACACCACCUUCCCAGCACAACGGAAGAAACAGAGAAGGUAAGCUGUGACUGACUGCAUGAUUCUACCGACGCUUUACUAACUAUGAUCCUGAGGGAUAUGAGGUGUAAAUGGACACAACUAGCCUUCUUUCUCUUUACUAACCAUGAUCCUGAGGGAUAUGAGGUU